AUUGAACGCUGGCGGCAGGCCUAACACAUGCAAGUCGAACGCGUGGCGGACGGGUGAGUAAUGUCUGGGCAACUGCCCGAUGGAGGGGGAUAACUACUGGAAACGGUAGCUACUACCGCAUACCAUCGGAUGUGCCCAGAUGGGAUUAGCUAGUAGGUGGGGUAAAGGCUCACCUAGGCGACGAUCCCUAGCUGGUCUGAGAGGAUGACCAGCCACACUGUGACUGAGACACGGGCCAGACUCCUACGGGAGGCAGCAGUGGGGAAUAUUGCACAAUGGGCGCAAGCCUGAUGCAGCCAUGCCGCGUGUAUGAAGAAGGCCUUCGGGUUGUAAAGUACUUUCAGCGAGGAGGCGUUACUCACAGAAGAAGCACCGGCUAACUCCGUGCCAGCAGCCGCGGUAAUAC
rnacentral:rRNA from 1 species